rnacentral:lncRNA from 1 species
AAUAUUACACAUUAACUCCUCCAGGCCAUAAAUGGGGACUUUGGUCCCAUCUCCCAGGACCCAGAAUGAACAGAUAGGAGGCUCCACACUCGGGGCACACCUAGCCCCACCCAGAGCAUCCUCCUGACUUCCCUGCACCCAGCCUCCUGCCUCCAGCUCCCCUGCACCCCACCCCCUGCCCAGCCCAGUCUGGCUGGGGAUGAGGCCAGAUGGGUGUCAGCACGAACACCCUGUGAGCUUGGCAAGCCGCCCUGGUCCUGAGCCCCGCUUCCUCAUCUGCAAACAGAGAGACUUGCCCUGUUAAAAAAAAAAAAAAAAAACCUUGAAGCUUCUCAUUUUCUGUGAUGUCAAGAUUGAUUCUGAGAGCCCUUUUGUCUUGCUUUUUCCCCUCGUGCCAUGACUUUUCUGAUCCUACGGACUGGGGAUUUAAAUGCUUCGCUCCUCUUUCGUAACUGACAGGCUCACGCAGGCAGUUCGAAAUCCUCAGUAAGAAAAAAGCAUCCUUGGAUGUUAAGGCUGCCGGAGUAGAUGUCCAGCCCUGCCUCUCCACCUCCAACCAGCUGACUGUCUCUCCUUCAAGAGAUUUCCACAGAGCUCUUGCUUCCUCCAGCCCAGG